GCUCCAGAGAUGGCGGUCAAUACCGCCGCCACACUUCCCCAAGGCCCCCGACUGCUACACAAACACGCAUACACACACCAACGCCCAUCUGGUGUCCAUAUCUGACAUCUUGUCCACCAAGCUUGCAUGCCUGAUGAAGCUGGAGGAGGACGGGGGCGGAGUUUCCUGUAGGUGUGACAACUGCUCACUUCCUGUGUGCCUACCAAUCACAGGACGACGGAGAAAGAUGUGGAACAUUGUGAACAUUCUGUGCUGAGACACCAGCUCUUUGUUAGUCAUGGAGGGAGGGGGUGAUCUACAUUAGAACAAAACACCAGCUGGGUCUCUCAUCGAUGCACUGUCUCUCUCUGUGUGUGUGUGUGUGUGUGUGUGUGUGUGUGUGUGUGUGUGUGUGUGUGUGUGUGUGUGUGUGUGUGUGUGUGUGUGUGUGUGUGUGUGUGUGUGUG